AAGAGUAUAGUUUAAUGGUAGAAUUUGAAGCUUCAAACUUUAUUGUCUCAGUUCAAAUCUGAGUACUCUUG
rnacentral:tRNA from 2 species